ACGCUAAUACCGCAUACGAUCUAUGGAUGAAAGCGGGGAUCGCAAGACCUCGCGCGAUUGGAGCGCCGAUAUCAGAUUAGGUAGUUGGUGAGGUAAAGGCUCACCAAGCCGACGAUCUGUAGCUGGUCUGAGAGGACGACCAGCCACACUGGGACUGAGACACGGCCCAGACUCCUACGGGAGGCAGCAGUGGGAAUUUUGGACAAUGGGCGCAAGCCUGAUCCAGCAAUGCCGCGUGCAGGAUGAAGGCCUUCGGGUUGUAAACUGCUUUUGUACGGAACGAAACGGUGAGCUCUAAUACAGUUUGCUAAUGACGGUACCGUAAGAAUAAGCACCGGCUAACUACGUG
rnacentral:rRNA from 1 species